CAGUAGCCACGGGAAUACGGAGGGUGCGAGCGUUAAUCGGAAUUACUGGGCGUAAAGCGUACGCAGGCGGUUUGUUAAGUCAGAUGUGAAAUCCCCGAGCUUAACUCGGGAACUGCAUUUGAAACUGGCAGGCUAGAGUCUUGUAGAGGGGGGUAGAAUUCCAGGUGUAGCGGUGAAAUGCGUAGAGAUCUGGAGGAAUACCGGUGGCGAAGGCGGCCCCCUGGACAAAGACUGACGCUCAGGUGCGAAAGCGUGGGGAGCAAACAGGAUUAGAUACCCCUGUAGUCCCUGUCUCUUAUAC
rnacentral:rRNA from 1 species